rnacentral:rRNA from 1 species
CCCUCGAGUUGGGGAUAACACUCCCAACGGAGUGCUAAUACCGAAUAAGACCACGGAGUCGCAUGGCUCAGCGGUCAAAGGUGGCCUCUACAUGUAAGCUACCGCUUGAGGAUGAUCCCGCGUCCCAUUAGCUUGUUGGUAGGGUAAUGGCCUACCAAGGCGACGAUGGGUAGCUGGUCUGAGAGGAUGGUCAGCCACACUGGGACUGAGAUACGGCCCAG